UUAACUGAAACCAAAAUAGAGGUAUAUUACUGUUAAUGAUAUCAUUGAAUAAAUUUCCAGUUAAA
rnacentral:tRNA from 1 species